rnacentral:rRNA from 1 species
AGAGUUUGAUCAUGGCUCAGGAUGAACGCUAGCUACAGGCUUAACACAUGCAAGUCGAGGGGAAACGACAUCGAAAGCUUGCUUUUGAUGGGCGUCGACCGGCGCACGGGUGAGUAACGCGUAUCCAACCUGCCCACCACUUGGGGAUAACCUUGCGAAAGUAAGACUAAUACCCAAUGAUAUCUCUAGAAGACAUCUGAAAGAGAUUAAAGAUUCAUCGGUGAUGGAUGGGGAUGCGUCUGAUUAGCUUGUUGGCGGGGUAACGGCCCACCAAGCUUUCGAUGGAUAGGGGUUCUGAGAGGAAGGUCCCCCACAUUGGAACUGAGACACGGUCCAAACUCCUACGGGAGGCAGCA